rnacentral:misc_RNA from 1 species
AUCAUCCCUAAAUUCAACAAAAGAUCUCUCUGCAAAAACUAUCUGCUUCCAUUUCCAUUCCCAUAAUCAGUUCAGAGAGAAGCCAAAUGGGUUUUCAAAUAGCAGAGAACAAGCCUGCACCAUCAACGCUCAUAUUCACUUACGGUACCUUGAAGAGAGGCUUCUCCAAUCACGGACUCUUGCAAGAUCUGAUGCGAACCGGAGACGCUGUCUUCAGAGGUACAUACCGAACCAUAGACAAUUAUCCUCUCGUCUGUGGUCCCUACAGAGUCCCAUUCCUCCUCAACCUCCCCGGUGCUUCCGGAUCCAACCGCGUCACAGGCGAGUUGUACGCCGUCACGGCUAAAGGACUCCGAGCUGGAGGGUACCACUCGUUGUCACUACGAGAGGUUGCCGAUAAUGUUGGAGCCGAUAACGGCAACGGAUGAUGGUGAGGAGUACGGAGGCGACGGAAAAGCGUGCGCGGCGGAGGCGUAUUACGCGCACAGGAGCUACGCGGUGGAGAUGUGGAAGCGGAACGGGAAGAGAGGUUAUGGUGUGUACGGAGAGAAGGAAGCAAAAGGGUAUGUGAAGAGGAAAGAUAGACCUCAAAAUCUGAGCUUUUUAGAUCAGAUUCAUGUUUUUGUGAGCUCUAUUGAUAGUAAUUAGUGGAAAAUUUUUUAAAUAAAAAAAUAUUUAAAAUUGUGUACCGUAAGCCAUAGCCAAAGCUUCUUCUUCUCUGUAAUCUGUAUUUGUUUUGGAUCGCAGAGUAGAUGUAAGAGCAAACCAUGAAUGAUGAAUCCUAUCUUCUUCUGUUCC